GAUGAACGCUGGCGGCGUGCCUAAUACAUGCAAGUCGAGCGAACAGACGAGGAGCUUGCUCCUCUGACGUUAGCGGCGGACGGGUGAGUAACACGUGGAUAACCUACCUAUAAGACUGGGAUAACUUCGGGAAACCGGAGCUAAUACCGGAUAAUAUAUUGAACCGCAUGGUUCAAUAGUGAAAGACGGUUUUGCUGUCACUUAUAGAUGGAUCCACGCCGCAUUAGCUAGUUGGUAAGGUAACGGCUUACCAAGGCAACGAUGCGUAGCCGACCUGAGAGGGUGAUCGGCCACACUGGAACUGAGACACGGUCCAGACUCCUACGGGAGGCAGCAGUAGGGAAUCUUCCGCAAUGGGCGAAAGCCUGACGGAGCAACGCCGCGUGAGUGAUGAAGGUCUUCGGAUCGUAAAACUCUGUUAUUAGGGAAGAACAAAUGUGUAAGUAACUAUGCACGUCUUGACGGUACCUAAUCAGAAAGCCACGGCUAACUACGU
rnacentral:rRNA from 1 species